GAUUCCACACUGACGAGAAAAGCCACUAUCCAGAUUAAAGGUACCAGUACCGCAAACCGACACAGGUAGGUGAGGAGAGAAUCCUAAGACGAGCGGGAGAAGCGUUGUUAAGGAACUCGGCAAAUUGACCCCGUAAGUUAGCGAUAAGGGGUGCCUCUAGAGAUAGAGGCCGCAGAGAAUAGGCCCAAGCAACUGUUUAUCAAAAACACAGGUCUCUGCUAAAUCGAAAGAUGAAGUAUAGGGGCUGACGCCUGCCCGGUGCUGGAAGGUUACGGGAAUUGCUUAGCGCAAGCGAAGGCAUGAACUUAAGCCCCAGUAAACGGCGGCCGUAACUAUAACGGUCCUAAGGUAGCGAAAUUCCUUGUCAGGUAAGUUCUGACCCGCACGAAUGGCGUAAUGACUUGGGCACUGUCUCAACAACGUACCCGGCGAAAUUGUAGUACUUGUGAAGAUGCAAGUUACCCGCGACUAGACGGAAAGACCCCAUGGAGCUUCACUGUAGCUUGAUAUUGGGUUUCGGUAUUUUUUGUACAGGAUAGGUGGGAGACUGAGAAUUAGUGGCGCCAGCCAUUAAGGAGUCGACGUUGGGAUACCACUCUAAAAGUACUGGAACUCUAACCUGGAGCCAUAAACUGGUUCAGGGACACUGUCAGGUGGGCAGUUUGACUGGGGCGGUCGCCUCCCAAAGAGUAACGGAGGCGUCCAAAGGUUACCUCAGCGCGGUUGGAAAUCGCGCAUUGAGUGCAAAGGCAUAAGGUAGCCUAACUGCGAGAGAGACACCUCGAGCAGGUACGAAAGUAGGGCUUAGUGAUCCGGUGGUAUGAAAGUGGAAUUGCCAUCGCUCAACGGAUAAAAGCUACCCUGGGGAUAACAGGCUUAUCUCCCCCAAGAGUCCACAUCGACGGGGAGGUUUGGCACCUCGAUGUCGGCUCAUCGCAUCCUGGAGCUGUAGCAGGUUCCAAGGGUUUGGCUGUUCGCCAAUUAAAGCGGUACGCGAGCUGGGUUCAGAACGUCGUGAGACAGUUCGGUCCCUAUCUGUCGCGGGCGCAGGAUAUUUGAGAGGAUCUGUCCUUAGUACGAGAGGACCGGGAUGGACGAACCUCUAGUGCACCAGUUGUCAUACCAAUGGCACAGCUGGGUAGCCAAGUUCGGCAGGGAUAAACGCUGAAGGCAUCUAAGCGUGAAACCCACCUCAAGAUGAGAUAUCCCACCGUAAGGGUAAGACCCCAUGUAGACUACAUGGUUGAUAGGUCAAGAGUGUAAGUGCAGUAAUGUAUUAAGCUGAUUGAUACUAAUAGGUCGAGGGUUUGACCC
rnacentral:rRNA from 1 species